rnacentral:rRNA from 1 species
AUUGAACGCUGGCGGCAGGCCUAACACAUGCAAGUCGAGCGAGCGGCGGACGGGUGAGUAAUUUAUGGAGACUGCCCGAUAGAGGGGGAACACUACUGGAAACGGUGGCUAAUACCGCAUACUGUCGGAUAACCCAUAUGGGAUUAGCUAGUAGGUACGGUAAUGGCUUACCUAGGCGACGAUCCCUAGCUGGUCUGAGAGGAUGAUCAGCCAGCCUGGGACUGAGAAACGGCCCAGACUCAUACGGAGGAAGCAGUGGGGAAUAUUGCACAAUGGGCGAAAGCCUGACGAAGACAUGCGGCGUGUAUGAAGAAGGCCCUAGGGUGGUAAAGUACUUUGAGUAGGGAGGCGGUACCGAAAGAAGAAGCACCGGCUAACUCCGUGCCAGCAGCCGCGGUAAUUC